rnacentral:rRNA from 1 species
GGGAAUGCAGCUCUAAAUGGGUGGUAAAUUUCAUCUAAAGCUAAAUAUGGGCCAGAGACCGAUAGCGCACAAGUAGAGUGAUCGAAAGAUGAAAAGCACUUUGAAAAGAGAGUUAAACAGUAUGUGAAAUUGUUGAAAGGGAAGCGCUGGCAACCAGACUUGCGCGGGACGGUUCCCCCGGUCCUCUGACCGGGCUACUCCGUCCCGGACAGGCCAGCAUCGGUUCGGGUGGUCGGUGAAAGGCCCCGGGAAUGUAUCUACCUUCGGGUCGACUUAUAGCCCGGGGUGCAACGCGGCCCACCGGGACCGAGGAACGCGCUCCGGCACGGAUGCUGGCGUAAUGGUUGUCAGCGGCCCGUCUUGAAACACGGACCAAGGAGUCUAACAUCUGUGCGAGUGUUUGGGUGUCAAACCCCGGCGCGGAAUGAAAGUGAACGGUGGUGAGAACCCCGCCCGGGGCGCAUUAUCGACCGAUCCUGAUGUCUUCGGAUGGAUUUGAGUAAGAGCAUGGCUGUUGGGACCCGAAAGAUGGUGAACUAUGCCUGGAUAGGGUGAAGCCAGAGGAAACUCUGGUGGAGGCUCGCAGCGGUUCUGACGUGCAAAUCGAUCGUCAAAUCUGGGUAUAGGGGCGAAAGACCAAUCGAACCAUCUGGUAGCUGGUUCCUGCCGAAGUUUCCCUCAGGAUAGCAGUAACGUGUUCAGUUUUAUGAGGUAAAGCGAAUGAUUAGAGGCCUGGGGGUUGAAACAACCUUCACCUAUUCUCAAACUUUAAAUAUGUAAGAAGUCC